GGGCCUGUAGCUCAAUUGGUUAGAGCCGGCGGCUCAUAACCGCUUGGUUGGGGGUUCGAGUUCCCUGCCCACCA
rnacentral:tRNA from 1 species